rnacentral:lncRNA from 1 species
CUAGCCGUGGGUACGAAGUUGGAGCAUGUGAUUAUCCAAUUGGCCCACGAGGUUGCUGAGAAACAUGUAGCAGUUCAAGGGGAUUUGGUUGUUCGACCUUCAGAUGAUCACUUCUGGUUCAACAAGCCUAAAAUUGUUCUCCUUUUGAUUCACAUCAUUUUAUUCCAAAACUCUUUCGAACUGGCAUUUUUCUUCUGGAUAUGGGUAAAGACACAGCACCAGUGCACUGCACUUCCAAACAACAUUCAGCAAAUUACUACAUGAAUAUAUGACAUUUUUCACUGACUAUUACAGGUGCAGUAUGGUUUUGACUCCUGCAUAAUGGGACAAGUUGGUUAUAUUAUUCCAAGACUUGUUAUAGGGUAAAUUCACAUCCAUGUCUAUUGCGUUUUCUACCAUAUAUAUCGAUGCACAAGUCCUAAUUAUAUGCUCUGUUUCAAUGCCAAUUCCAUCUUUUAGGGCAUUCGUUCAGUUCCUCUGCAGUUACAGUACCCUGCCACUCUAUGCCAUUGUGACACAGGUAAGCUAGAUUUUUCUCAACAGAAGCUGUUGUGGUGCCUAUCUGUCUCGAGUAAACAUAAUCCAGGACGUGUGACACAGAAAGUGUAAUUCUAUUUGUUUUUUUUUAUAAUGCAGAUGGGAAGUUCAUUUAAGAGGGAAAUAUUUGAAGAGCAUAUUCAAGAAGGGCUUGUGGGUUGGGCUAAGCAAGCAAAGAAGAAGGCAGGGUUGAGAAGGACUGCCAAUGAGUCUAGCCAUAAUCAAGUAGGUCCCAAAGAGGAGUCUCCUCUGAUUCAGAUGGCAAAGGCUGGAUCUAGGGAAACUGCAGUGGAAGAGAACAAAUCAGGAGAGAUUGUACAUGGAACUGCCUCCUAAGGAACUACCAUGGGAGUCACUCAAGAAUCAAUGUGCUUGCCAGCUCUCUACUAUAUAGGAGUACAUACGUUGAUAGAGUUGAUGCAUACAGCUUGAGUGACGUGAGGAAAUUUUAAGAUUUUAAAAUUGAAAUUUUAAUAAGAGAUGAAGAUGUAGUUUAAGAAAUCAAUCAUAACUUCUUUUAAUCUGAUUGUAUUAAAUUGGAAUUUUAAUAAAAAAUUCUAAAGAUUUUAUUUUAGAUAAUGAUUUGAAAUUUUAAGAUCGGAAAGUCAUUUAAAUAAAGUUUAAAAAUUAUUGUUCGAGAUUGUUUUUAUUUUUCUUGUUGUAUUUAGAUUUUUUUUAUUUAAAUUAAAACUUUAAGUUAAUAAGUAUUUUAUUAUUUAAAAAUCAUAAUACUAGAUGAAUUCUAUUAAUUAGAUAAGUUUUAAUUAUGAAUAUUUUUUAUAAAUAAUUUUAGUUUUAAGUUUUAACUAAGAAUCCAGGUUUUAAAGCUAAUAUAAAUAGAAGUUUUUAGUUUAUUUUUUAAAAAAGAAGUUAUUAUUAAGACUUAAUAAAACACUAGGUUUUUCUAAAAGUUUCUCUACUGGUUGUAAUAGAUUUCGUACCUGGAGCUUGGUUUUACCAACCAAAAUAUACAAUCAAGUUCCAAAUGAAUUGACGCUGAAGCAUAUUUAACAUGUAUUUGUUUUUUCACACAUGGAAGUUUCAAGACACAGAGAUGCUGAAGCAUCUCUUCUCUUACCUUGGCUUGGCUUGGCUUCCACAGCCCAGUCUCAGGUCCAUCAUAAUGAAAAGACAAAACAAGCAAGUACGACAUAAUUUUUUAUUAUUAUUAUUAUUAAUGUAGUUGUCCGGAUUAGCUUAUGUGUACAUGUCCUAAAAUUAAAAAUACUUAAAAUCACAGGAAAAACAAAUUUAUUAAUUUUAAAUUUUUAUUACUUGACCAUCUAUUAUAUAAUUAAAAAAACAUAACAUCUUAAUAUUACAUGAGCUAGACAAAAGCAUUAAUGAUCCAAAAGAUCAAGUUCAGUUGGGACUUUACAUUAGAGAACAUGGUCUGUUGCAACUGCUUCCUCUUCUCAUAAGGACACUUCUUCUCCCACCAUCAAUUCCACUACAAGAUAAAUUCAAAAAAAAACCUAUAAUAUCCAACACCCAAGGUACUGAAGAAGGGCUAAAAAUCACGAUUACACUCUCAGCUCUCUCUCUACUUCUCAUAUACGCUGCUCCAUUAUGAUUCCGCUCAGGGCUUCCCCUUCAUUUAUACCCACGUGGCUCCGCCACUGCUUGGACUUUGCAGCUCUAAAAACUCUUUCUGCCAAGCCCAAGUAGCCUCAUUGCCAAAACAAUAUCAUCCUCUAUAUCAACCUCGUAAAUAUCAGAUUCUUUGUCAAUCCGUAUUUAAAUAUCAAAUGCCUGUAAGAUUUUAGAGAAGCACAUGCUUGACUGCUGUAAACUAUAAUCUAUACUUGAAGAUGACAAUACAAAUUUGGAAUCCGCAGGGUCUAUCACAACAGCAUGUCAAGAGCAAUGCAAAAAUCCGGCUAAUUAAGAAUUCUUUUCCACGAUAUAUCCUGUUUUUACACUUACACUAGAAUUAGUCUCCGUGUCUCCACCAUGUAGGAACUUAGCAAAACUGAGAGCCCAGAUUUCAAUUUUGAUAAUAUAUAUAUGGAAUCAUCAUUUAAAGCAAUCAUUUCAUUUUUAAUUGUUAAAAUCAAAUUAAAAAAAAACAAAUUAAAAUUCACUCCCAAAAACCCUUUUAGUUUCCAAACUCUGAGCCUUAAAUAUAGUUUUUAAAAAACAUAAAUAAGUAAACCGUAAACCCGAUGCAACAACACAUAAAACUUAAAAAGGAUACGAAAUUCAUUAGUCAGGUUCCAUCCAUUAGACCAGGUCUGUCUAAUGUAAUCACUGAUAAACUAUUGAAGUAUUCCAAGUUGUCUCAUCUGUCUUAGGAUCGUUUCUAGUUACGUUGAAUAAUUCCUCCUGUACUUGAGGAACAAGUUUCUAUCUUUCUGUUAUAAUCAGUUAACCACGAUAUUACAUGCAAAAAUAUCGUGAGUUUGUUAUUUCCUUUUAUCUCAGUAUAAGGCUAUUUAUUAGCCAUUGGCAGCAGCUUAAUAAAGUGUAUUUUUCAUCUAUCCCUUUUGAUUUCUAACAAUCACAACUCUCAUUUUAAAAUGAAUGGAAUCUUGGUAGAUACCACAAAUCUACGUGUUAAAUUCAUUGAAAAAACAAUAAAAAAUGAACCUGUCUAUACGUACCUUCUUGGUAAGAGUUGAUUGGGUUAUUACCUCAGAUGAUCAAAUUAGUUUUUAUGAUCAGGGUUUUAGGGUUUAGAAUUGACUUUUUCCUCGAUGUUUAUCAGAAGAAAAAUGAUAUAGUGGAGAUAGAGAUGAUCCAGAAGGCAUGCAGCUGGUUGGGUUCUGACACAGUCAAGCAAUAAUAAAAACCGAUGAAAAUGAUGAGGGCAGCAAAUGAUGGAUUGAUCAUUAGUUGGGAACUCAGCAUGUGAAAGAGAGAUACCUCCAUGGAUAUUACUGGACCACACAACAGUGUUCUGAUAAGUCAUCGGGCCGGGGAGCAAGCAUCCAUCAAUAUACACGUGUACGUACGUGUGAUGAAUUAAUCAACUAAAAAUAUAUGAACUGAUCAGAGCACUUUCGAUAUCUGGACCUUCCCUCCCUCCCUAAAUUAUUUCGAGUUGCUGCGUUCUCUCCCAUCCAUCAACGUGAAAUUAAAAGCAGCUAGCAUGACAAGUACUGUAAUAUAUAUCUAAAUUGUUUUAAACAUUUUAUUUUUUUAUAUAAAAAGAAAAUGUUUAAACUUCGAUCAUGAUCAUGGUAUAGAUACAAUUAAUGAAGUUUACCUAUGAUACUAUGAAAUAUAUACUAUUUCUUGUCAAAUAUUGUGUGAUGCUGCAGGGUAUAUUCCUAGAUUCAUUAUUUUUAAAAUGAUCUGUCACGACCUCAUUCCCGGAUCCAUGACCUGCACAUAGGCAAGGUUCCUCUUCAAGGUUCCAUACCUAUGCGAACCCAAACUUACAUACAAACUUAUCCUAACUCAAUCAGAGUUCAACGCAGCAUUAAUAACAAACUAAACCUCAUAAUAUAAUUUGAUUGUCUUAAUACAAGAGUAAAUACAAAUUUCAUAGUUAUGGAGCACUAACUGAACAUGAAAGGAAAAUACUAAUUUCAACCAAAAAGCAGGUUCAGAAAGUUUAACAAAAAUAAUCCGCUAACAAGCUAUAAGCCUGAAAAGAUAAAUAAUGAGAGAGUGAGUUCAACAACUCAAUUAGUAAAUAAUGUUCAAUAUACACACACGAGGUAAUACAACAAUGAGAAUAUAUAUACAAUUAUGGCUCUAUGUUCUUAUAGGAAGAUUUCUCAAAUAGGCUAUAACAAGAAUAUCAUAUGGUAAAACUCGUCAGAAAAUCAAAAUACAAUGAGCAUGAGGCUUCGUACUGUGGGAUGAUCAAUCCACACAGGUUGGUGACUCCCCCGACCAACUAGGGUUCAAAUACGAUGUGUACAAAGACUAACACUACCCUGUUAGCAUGGGUAUUCUGACUGCAUACCAUAGGUUCAUAAUCAUAAUCAAACAGACAUAUUCAUAUCUCAAGGCUCAACUCAUGACAUUAAUCAAAUGAGGAGUUAUCAAUUCAGAAGUCAAUUCAAAAUAUAUAUACUGGUUCAUAUCAAUAAUUUGGAUUCAACAAUUGAUCAUGCUUUAUCAUAACAAAGAUAAUAAUCAACAUGUAUAUUAUCAAGAAGUAUGAUCCAAUUCACAUUAACAAAUCAAAUAUGUAUAAUAUUUCUCAUGCAUAUGGAAAAUUAUCCACUCACCUGACUCAAAAGCAAACAGAAGUCAAAAGCAGAUACCGAAGAAAAUCCUACUGACGUCCCACCGGUAGAAUAUCAGGAUUAUCUGAAUACAAAGGAGACAUAUUCAAGAACAACUCGAAAGAACAUAUAACCUAUUUAAUAUACCUAACUAAGAGUGUAUACCAUAACCCUAUAUGUUUUUAAACUAAAUUAGUUAUUUUUCCAUAUGCAUGAGAAAUAUGUUUUUCAAGAAAUCUAAUCCAUAAUAAAAUUGGUAAUAAUUCACUAAAUAACCCUCAAUUAUUCAUCAAACCAAACUGCAAAAGCUAAUAUUACAGCUAGGGACAAAUUUGAAAUUUAUCAUAUUUUUUAAGGGUCAAAUUGUAACUUUUGUCAAAUUGAAGGGCCAAACUAAAAAUAUUAUAAAUCCAUGACUAUACUGAAAUUAUGACCAUAAUUAAUCCUCAUUUCUGUUCAGAAUAUCUCAUUAUGCUCCAGGGACCAUCCUGGAAUUUUUUUCCAAAUUUUUAGGGUCAAAUUGUAAUUUUUUUCAAAUUGAAGGACCAAAUUGAAAGUGUUAAAAUUUCAUAACUAUACAGGAAUUCUGCCCAUAAUUCAUCUUUUAUUCUGUUCAGAAUCUCGGAAUAUACUCGAGGGACCAAUCUGUAAUUUUCCAAAGUUUGGAGACUAAACUGUAAUUUUCACAAAUUGAGGGACCAAACCGAAAUUUUGUCAUCUUCAACCUCCAACCCAGAAUUUCAACAGAAAACCUACUGUUCUUUCCAUAUUUCUAACUCAAAAUUCACCAUUUACAUAAAUCAUAACUCAAAAUUAUCAUCUUUACCUACAAUCUUCCAUAAUCAACUAAAUAAUCAAUUACCCACAACAAUCAACCCUAUAACAUUCAAAUUAAUUCAUCAAUUAAACCCAAAAUAAAAUCUUCAAAACCCUAACAUUCAUUAAAACCGAAAUUUAAAGUUCAAGAAAACGUAUUAUACACAUUUAUACAUUUAAAAACCUAAAUCUUACCUUUAAACUUAUUUUCUUCAACUCCUUUCUAUUUCUCUUUCCCUCUUUUCUCUUCUUCUUCUUCUUUCUCACUUCACUCUCACGGUUUGCUCUCUAAGAACACAGCUCUCUCUCUCUCUCUCUUUUUUACUUCCUAUUUAUAUUUAUCAUCUCUUUAUCCAAUUACUACAAUACCUCUCAUUUAAUUAUACUUUUUCUUUAAGCCUCCAAGGGCUUUGUUAUCUUUUUCUAUUUCUUUUAAAACAAAACAUCACAUGAUUAGUACUUAUUGAUCAUCGAUCAUGAAUAUAGAGAUUUGCUCAUUCAAACAUUGCUUUUUUGUAUGUACAUAGAUGUCAGAAAAGAUAAGUAGUGAGAGUCAUAGUUUUAUUUUUUAAAUUAUUUUUUAAUUGAAAAUAUAUUAAAAUAAUAUAUUUUUUAUUUUUUAAAAUUUAUCUUUUAUAUGAAUUUAUUUAAGAAUAAUAUUUCCAACACGUUCAAAAGCUGCCCUUGUGUGUGUGGACGCGCAAAUAAGAAAGAAUAACAUGCACGUAUAGAAUAAGUCCAAUGCUCCUAGUCCUAGCUACUCCAUGGAAAGCAUGUGUGUGUGCACACUGUAAAGCCCACGACGACUCCACAAGAGAAUAUUAAUCUCCAUGUGAGCUUUGUUUUCGAACUUUACGUGUAAGUUAACCCGAGCUUAAAGCCUUGUCUCGAUAAAAAUAGAGGGAGGGAGGGAGGGAGGGAGAAUUGGCCCUACAUGACUCACGUGACUCGUAAAAAACCCAUUACCUAGUUAACUCGGGAAAAUAGAAUUCAUGUAAAAGUCAACCAGUAUUUGAUGGCUGUCUACAUCACGCGAAUCCAGUCCGUGUAAUAAAACGCGGUGUUUUCUGUUUUUUAAAUGGGUAAUAACACGGUUUCCAACUCAUUGUUAGUCCUAAAGUUAGGUAGGUCGUCAAGACUUCAUUGACGUGUCUAUUGGUAUUGCAAUUUUUUUUUAUUUAAAAAUAUUUUUUUAUUAUUAUAUUAAAAAACACUAAAAAUUACAUUAAUUUAAUAUCCACCACACUUUUAAAAAAACUAAAAUCAGCUCCCAAACAGGGUAUUAAAAUUUUAAAAAAAAAAUCAUUUGUUGUGGCGGUGGUUUGCUCUGUUAUCGUUCUUGUUACAGGCUCAGCGGCAGCAAGAGGAGGCAGAGAAUAAUAUCGAAAAAACUUAUGGCAGAAGGAGGGACUACCUUAGAGUAUACCCCCACAUGGGUUGUGGCUGUGGUUUGCUCUGUUAUCGUUCUUAUUUCUCUUAUUGUUGAAAGAACCCUCCACUACCUUGGCAAGGUCACCCAUCAUCAACACUCUCUCCCUCCCAUAUACAACUAUAUAUGUUAUGUUGCAUGAUCAGUGAUCAAUUCAUUUAAUCGCCAUGAAUUGUUCAUCUUUCUUGCUGCAUAUACAUGGAAGAGAAUUAAUACUCAUGUGCGCUAGUACUGAUCAUCGUCCUGAUAAAUAUAUUCAAUAACGUUUCUAUCCCUGGCUGUCUCCAGUUGUUGAAGAGGAAACACCAGAAACCGCUCUUUGAAGCCUUACAGAAAAUCAAAGAAGGUAAAAUAAUAAUAUUCAUAUGAUUCCUAUAUAUAUAUGGUGGGCGCGCGCGCGCGCAGAUUGAUGUGUAGAAUCUUGAUUUUGAUGGUGGUGGUGGUGCAGAGUUGAUGCUUUUGGGGUUCAUAUCACUGCUACUAACAGUGUUCCAGGGAAGAAUUAACACUAUCUGCAUUUCUAAAGAUUUGUCAAAAAAAAUGCUGCCCUGCAAGGACGAAAGCAAAGAAACCACUACUGCCCAUUUUCAGACUUUCUUUUCCUUCGUUCCUGGUGGGAUUUCCCGUCGCCUUUUGGCCGAGGCCUCCUCUGCUAAUUCUUGUUCCGAGGUAAUCAAUCACUCCUUCUAUAUGUUCUUAUUUUUUUCAUCACUGGUAGUGAGCAUCAAGUAUACAGUUAUCAAAAGUAGUAAUCAUAAGUAAUAUUAAUUUGGGUGGAGUGGUUGGCAAGGCAUCAUGGAUAUGAUUCCGCAUGCACCAACCACGUUUCCUUUUUCUCUUUUCUUCGAAUAAAAAAAGACCUCUAAUUAUAUUAUCGUGUUGUGGGGGACAUGAGACAGGACUUGGAUAGGUCUACAAUAAUAUAAUAUAAUCAGGUUGAGAUAUAGAUAAUUACACGUAAAACUGAAAACUUACUUUCGAUUAUCAGUAAUAUAUUAGAGUUCUUGCAGCUCGGGAGACGCUCAGACCUCAACUGAAUUAAGUCUGAAGAUGUUCGAUGCUUAAUCUGGAUUGUAAUAUUUGGCUUUACUUUUUCUAGUCAAUGGAAAAGAGAGUUUUCGGGAAGAUGUAAUGACCUGUUUGGCACCCUUGUUUGUAACUAUUGUAACCUCUUUUUCCAUAGAGACUAUAGUUCCUGUUCAUUCAAUUAUGAUUAGCCUUACAAAAUUGGAGUAAUUAGGCCUAGCUACUAUACUUGCUUCUUCUAAAACCUUCAAUUGCUUGUAUCUGUUCGACAGAAUUUCAUUAGCCAUGACAUCUCUGUAGUGAGAAGAAAUAGCUUGUUAGUUUAGUUUCAAAAUCAUGCUCUCACAAAUAUUCAGGAUUACUCAUUGCUCACUGUCCCUUAAUUAAUGGUGUUUGACAGUUGAAACCACAUGCAGUUUUAGAUGCCUUGCUUAAGCAUAUAUAAUAUGAACAUCGCUUGUAGUAUAGACUGUGCUUUGUCCUUUGAAGUAUGGAUUUAAGCAAGCAGCAUUUCUUUUUUGGAUAAUUAAUAGCUUCAAUAAAAACAAAGUUUGAAACACAUUUGACAGGACUAUGUGAAUUCAUGUGUCUUGUAAGAAAGAAUUUGUGACCUUUUUAAGCCAUGUGAUCUAAUGGAAAAUUCAUAUUUAUAAGUGCGUGCCUAACAUCUUUCCUUUUUCAUCACGUUGCAGGGAAAGGUUCCAAUGUUAUCUACAACCGCACUGCAUCAUCUUCAUAUAUUUAUCUUCGUGCUAGCUUGUGUGCAUGUGGUAUUCUGUGUUCUAACCAUUCUUUUUGGAAGCGCUCGGGUAACUUCCACAUAUUCAUUUGCCUUUUUUCCCUCUAACUUUUUGUCUAGAUUUUGCAUUAUUUUCUGAUCCCUCGUAUUGAAUACUGUUUGUUAAAUGUCUUCGCUGGUGCAGAUAAGGCAGUGGAAACUUUGGGAGGAUUCUAUCUCAAAAAAGGAACAAGAUCCGGAAGAAGGUAAUGCUUGUUAAUAGCUUUAGUUUGCUUGUCCUUUUACAUGCUUGUUCUCCUGAGAAUUUUAUCAUAGUUAUACUGAUUUAACUUCAGAAUGAACUGAUGUCAUUCCUAUACUUUCUUCAAUAGCCAACUCCUCCUUUUGUUGAUUUUCUUCUUACUUGUGCUAAUAUAUUGCAGCUCAAGGUCCAAAGUUUACUCAUGUUAAAGACCAUGAUUUUAUCAAGUCACGAUAUCUGGGUUUUGGAAAGAAUUCCUACAUCCUGGGUUGGGUGGUAAGCCCUUCCACAAGUUCAGAUACUAAAACUAAUAGAAAUUACAAACACUUUGACCUGUUCUACAUUAAUAUUCUGAUAAGAAAAAAUUGCUUUACCUUAAUAUUUUGAAUUGAAAUGUGUCCUGUCUGAGGAUGAGUUUCUGACUCCAAGAAAACACUCCCCUGUGAGUUUCACUUAAAAAGUGUCUGAAAAAUAUGAAAUAGAAAAUUUAUCAUAGCAAGUAGCUCUUAGCUGCAAAAGUGUGCCCUCUAUGCGUGCAGAAUUAAUGGCAGUCUUGUGCAGUAAACAUUAGUCAGCUGGGGUUAAUAAAAUUAAAUAAUCAUGUGUUAUGAACUUAUGAUAUGUGUGGCUUUCUUCAUAUCAGAAGAGUACGUCUCGGAAAUUACUCAUCCUACUUAAUUUAUUUUUCAGCAUUCAUUUUUCAAGCAGUUUUAUGCAUCUGUAACAAGAUCCGAUUACACCACGUUGCGACUGGGCUUCAUUAUGGUGAGUUUAGGACUCUAUUCAUGCAAAUUUCUGUGUUUCUUUCCAUUUUUAACAUUUUUCUACAGACUCAUUGCAGGGGAAACCCGAAGUUUGAUUUUCACAAAUACAUGAUGCGAGUCCUCGAAGCUGACUUCAAGAAAGUUGUUGGAAUAAGGUUUGUAAUUUUCACAUUAAUCUAAUCUUAAUUUAUGCAAUGUAAACUAAUUUAUCAUGGAGAAUUACAUUACAUUCAUGCAAUUUGAAACUGCUAGUGUUGCAUGUUCCGCUUUUUCAAAGAGCAUAUCAUCAUUUCAUUAAGUAGUUCUUCUGCGCAAAGUGAAUGCGCUAAAUUCUGGUUUCAUGGCUGCAGUUGGUAUCUUUGGCUAUUUGUGGUUAUCUUCUUGUUUCUGAACGUUUCUGGUAAGCUAGUUAAUUUUGUUUAUCAAUAACUAGAGCAUCAUUUUGCAUCUCUUAUAUUGAAAUCCGUUCUUUUAGUAGCGGAGCACGCCAUUUUUUUUAAUGCAGCACAACAGAGUGGAAUUUGGCAGUUAGGAUAAUAGCGGAGCACGCCAUUUUUUUUAUGUAUUUGAUAUUAUAAUAGCUUUUAUGGUUGCCGUUUAGCAUUACCACGCAAAAUUGUGGUGCAUGUUAAGUAACCAAACAUUUUCAAAUUUAUAAUUGAGGAACAUUUAGAAUUAGAAUGGAGAAAACCAAAAAGUUUUGAUUUCCAAAACAUAAGAUGUGUUAAUGACAAGCCAAAACCUUUUCUUUUUCUCACUUUUAAAGCCCUAUUUGUAAGUUUUGCUGAUAAAAAAUAUUAAUUAAGCCGAUGCCAUAUUCUCUGUUUCCAUCCUUUCCUGCUGUAUGAAAUCAUUACGUAACACAGAAGGUUGUGUUAAAUCCAAUAUUUUUGGUAUGCAGGUUGGCAUGCAUAUUUCUGGAUUGCAUUCAUACCCUUCAUUGUAAGCUGCCCAAUCCUAUAUUUUUUGCUUUUAUUAUGCAUGAAAUUGAAGUUGAUGGAGAGUUUAAUUUAAUUUAUUUUUUUAUUAUGAUGGUGCUCUUUUUGCAGCUUCUGCUAGCCGUGGGUACUAAGUUGGAGCAUGUGAUUAUCCAAUUGGCCCACGAGGUUGCUGAGAAACAUGUCGCAGUUCAAGGGGAUUUGGUUGUUCGACCUUCAGAUGAUCACUUCUGGUUCAACAAGCCUAAAAUUGUUCUCCUUUUGAUUCACAUCAUUUUAUUCCAAAACUCUUUCGAACUGGCAUUUUUCUUCUGGAUAUGGGUAAAGACACAGCACCAGUACACUGCACUUCCAAAC